rnacentral:rRNA from 1 species
GAUGAACGCUGGCGGCGUGCUUAACACAUGCAAGUCGAACGGGAAACCUUUUAAUGAAGCUUCGGCAGAUUUAGCUGGUUUCUAGUGGCGGACGGGUGAGUAACGCGUGGGUAACCUGCCUUAUACAGGGGGAUAACAGCCAGAAAUGACUGCUAAUACCGCAUAAGCGCACAGGACCGCAUGGUCCGGUGUGAAAAACUCCGGUGGUAUAAGAUGGACCCGCGUUGGAUUAGCUUGUUGGUGGGGUAACGGCUCACCAAGGCGACGAUCCAUAGCCGGCCUGAGAGGGUGAACGGCCACAUUGGGACUGAGACACGGCCCAGACUCCUACGGGAGGCAGCAGUGGGGAAUAUUGCACAAUGGGGGAAACCCUGAUGCAGCGACGCCGCGUGAAGGAAGAAGUAUCUCGGUAUGUAAACUUCUAUCAGCAGGGAAGAUAGUGACGGUACCUGACUAAGAAGCCCCGGCUAACUACGUG